CCGGACGCCUGCCGGCGCAUGCGCGGCCGCGGAUAGCACGGAGGACAGGGCUGGCGACCGCCUCCCUCGCCGCUGAGUGGCGGCCGGGUCACGUGGUGCAGGGGGAGGGCCCGGGCUGGUGCUGCUGCUGCCGCCGCCGCUGCGCGCGCCGGAGAACAAUUUCCAAAACUUGUAUGGUUUUGAAUUUGAACAAAAGACUAGACAUCGAAAUAAUCUUCACGUUUUUUUGAAUAAGAAGUAAUAAUGCAACGAAGGCAGGGAAGAGUCAAUGCUGGACUGCUUCUGCUGCUUUAUCAAAUUUCUCAAGUUGGGCUCCAGAAUAUUCCUUCUGUUACCCUUGGGGUACUUGCACUGAACAUUUUUCUCUUUCUGAAUCCUGUGAGGCCACUGCCUGAAGUGUGUAUCAGUGUAAAUGAAGGCUUCUACAGAAAGAACUGGCAGCGUUUACUGCUUUCUCCUGUCCACCAUGCAGAUGACUGGCAUUUAUAUUAUAACAUGAUUUCCAUGCUUUGGAAGGGGAUAAUGCUGGAAAAAAAGCUUAAGAGCAUAUGGUUUGCAUACAUAAUUGCAGUAUUUUCAGUGCUGAUUGGAGUUGUUUAUAUGGUGCUGGAAUUCAUGCUUAUGGAAAUUCUGGAUGAUCCUUCAUAUGAAAUGAAUUGUGCCGUAGGUUUUUCAGGAGUCUUGUUUGCUUUGAAAGUUCUUAACAACCAUUACAAUCCAGGAAGAGUCAGCAGUGUCCUUGGAUUACAGAUACCCAGUAAAUAUGCUUGUUGGGUAGAGCUGGUGGCUAUUCAUUUAAUCUCCCCAGGGACUUCUUUUGCUGGGCAUCUGGCAGGGAUUCUUGUUGGAUUGAUGUACACUAUGGGACCUCUGAAAAAGAUCAUGAAAGCCUGUGCAGGUGGCAUUUCUUCAUUCACUGACCCUGCCAGGCCAAGGGACUACUAUUCAGAGUAUUAUGGCUAUCCAAGUUAUCAAUACAGAACGCCAAGGAGUUAUUAUGAUUAUACAGGUGGGCUUACUGAAGAAGAACAGCUUGAAAGGGCAGUGCUAAACAGUCUUAAUGAAAGAGGUAUGGUUCCCUUGGUAUUCCUGACUUGAUUCAACCCUCCGAGCUCACCUUGUUACCUGUUUAUUAUGGCAGUGGACUCCAAUAGUUCCUGACAGGGGGGCUGAUGCAAACUGCAAUUCGGGCAUCACAGUUGUUAGCCAGAAACUGUAUUCAUUAGCAAAAAAUUGACAUGUUCCCCGCUGACCCUGGCAUUCAAUGAAUGGUGCUGAUCUGAAGUCUUCUAGGCAACUUCCAGGUGACAUAAGGGACUGUCCACCACCCUGAUCACCAGAUCCAGUGUGCUGGAAAGAACAGUGAAAGAACUUGAUAACUGUGCAUGAAAAAUAGAAAGUGGCAUCAUUGGUAAAGGAGCAGCGCUUGACAACCAGUAAGACUUAUCAUUUCGACUGGCGUAGUAACAAACUUGGUUGAUAUUACAGUAAGCAAAGGGCAUGGUAUUAAACACAGGAAGACAAGAUCCUGCCAGACCUGAAAAUAAUAACAAAUUAUGAAAAUUACUCCACUUCUUUCUAUGUAUAGCAGACUAUAGCCAGUCCAUAAUUUUGGCAUCCCCUGUGGACAGAGUGGUUCUCUGUCUGACUGACUGUGAAGGACGAGCAAGAAUCCACUUGCAGAUCUAAUAUGGGGGCCUGGUGGUCCUGGGAUACCAGUCUGGCCAGGUGGACCUUACACAUUGGAGAAAAGGAAGCCCUGGUCCCCCCUUUUGUCCUUUCUCAAGACGGAUAUUAACGCUGCCACUGUCUCCUGGAGGUCCUCUUUCACCUUUGAACCAAACAUACAGAAUUUCCAGCCAAAGCUCUCUGUUCAGCCAGGCCGGUCUUCUUCCCCACCGGCCUGUCUUUCAGCACAUCGGAUGGCCUGCUCCUGUGCCUUUAAGAUUUCCUUCUUGAAGAAUGCCCAGCCUCCUGGGACUCCUUUGCCCUUCAGGACUUCGUCCCAUGUGACUCUGUGACUCUGUCAACCAGUCUCCUAAAGAAGCCAAAGUCUGCCCCCUGGAAGUCCAAGGGGGUCCUUUAUCGCCUGGAAGUCCUGGAAGUCCUCGGGAGCCUGGAGGACCUGGGGGACCUCGUGAGCCAGGAGAGCCUUUGAGACCUUUGAUUCCAGGUGGCCCAGCUAGGCCCCUGUCUCCGAUCUGACCUUUAAAGCCUGACUUCAACCCACAAUCCACCGAGGCUACGCAGAAAGGGACUCCCCGGAAUGUAGUGACUGCUGGAUGAGGCUGUCCUCCCAGAAUUGAACAUGGCAGUAGUGUUAAUUGAUAGCUUCUCAGGCUGUGGGCUAAUCAAUGGAGACUGAAGAAUGCACUGUUCUGUCUAUACAAUGUCUUGUCUCAAGUUUGUUAAUGAUGCCCCCAACUAAAACAAUAUGCACAUCAGGUCCCAGUCUGUUAUGUCAACAGCCCAACUAGAAACAACACUGACUUUUUGCUACCAGGCAACAUUUAACAGCUGGGCUCCAGGAGGUCCAACUAACAGUGGUGACCCUGGUGGCCCAGGAAGUCCAGUGUCGCCCUGUGGAAGCCAAAGGAACAGCAAAGAGAUGUUCUGUUCCAUGCAGUCUUUCAGUGAGACUCAGCAUCCUUUUCUGUUGUACUACAGCACUACAUAUUUCUGUACUCAUUGAAGAUGUACUUGUACUAAUACCUGUAGAUAAAUAAAGGUUUGUACUGAGA